GCCGGCUUAGCUCAGUUGAACAGAGCAAUGGUCUUCUAAACCAUCGGUCGUGGGUUUGAGUCCCACAGCCGGUA
rnacentral:tRNA from 1 species